rnacentral:rRNA from 1 species
UACGAAGGGGGCUAGCGUUGCUCGGAAUCACUGGGCGUAAAGGGUGCGUAGGCGGGUCUUUUAAGUCAGGGGUGAAAUCCUGGAGCUCAACUCCAGAACUGCCUUUGAUACUGGGGAUCUCGAGUCCGGGAGAGGUGAGUGAAACUGCGAGUGUAGAGGUGAAAUUCGUAGAUAUUCGCAAGAACACCAGUGGCGAAGGCGGCUCACUGGCCCGGUACUGACGCUGAGGUGCGAAAGCGUGGGGAGCAAACAGG